rnacentral:rRNA from 1 species
UGGAGGAAAGUAGGGGAUCGUAAGACCUUGCGCUUUUGGAGUGGCCGAUGCCUGAUUAGCUAGUUGAUGGGGUAAGAGCCUACCAAGGCGACGAUCAGUAGUUGGUCUGAGAGGACGACCAGCCACACUGGGACUGAGACACGGCCCAGACUCCUACGGGAGGCAGCAGUGGGGAAUUUUGGACAAUGGGCGCAAGCCUGAUCCAGCAAUGCCGCGUGAGUGAAGAAGGCCUUCGGGUUGUAAAGCUCUUUCAGUCGAGAAGAAAAGAUUGUGACGAAUAAUCACAAUUCAUGACGGUAUCGACAGAAGAAGCACCGGCUAACUACGUGCCAGCAGCCGCGGUAAUACGUAGGGUGCAAGCGUUAAUCGGAGUUACUGGGCGUAAAGGGUGCGCAGGCGGCUUUGUAAGUCAGAUGUGA